UUUUAAGCAUGCAAGUCGAACGGUAGAGGGGUGCUUGCACCUCUUGAGAGUGGCGAACGGGUGAGUAACGCGUAGAUGAUCUACCAUUUGGUUGGGGAUAGCUCAUGGAAACAUGGGGUAAUACCGAAUAAGAUCUUGUUGCUGUGGCGAUGAGAUGAAAGGGGCUUCGGCCUCGCCGAGUGAUGAGUCUGCGUAUGAUUAGCUAGUUGGUGUGGUAAAGGCGCACCAAGGCGACGAUCAUUAGCCGGCCUGAGAGGGUGACCGGCCACAUUGGGACUGAGACACGGCCCAGACUCCUACGGGAGGCAGCAGCUAAGAAUCUUCCGCAAUGGGCGCAAGCCUGACGGAGCGACGCCGCGUGGGCGAAGAAGGCCGAGAGGUUGUAAAGCCCUUUUCUCACAGAAGAAUAAGUUUUUGAGGUAAUGCGAGAGCGAUGACGUUAUGUGAGGAAUAAGCACCGGCCAAUUACGUGCCAGCAGCCGCGGUAACACGUAAGGUGCGAGCGUUGUUCGGAAUUAUUGGGCGUAAAGGGCUCGUAGGUGGCCUGCCAAGUCCCACGUGAAAGACCAGGGCUCAACCCUGGGUCCGCGAGGGAAACUGGCAAGCUGGAAUCUUGGAGGGGGUACUGGAAUUCCUGGUGUAGGGGUGAAAUCUGUUGAUAUCAGGAAGAACACCGGAGGCGAAGGCGAGUAUCUGGCCA
rnacentral:rRNA from 1 species